rnacentral:rRNA from 1 species
AGAGUUUGAUCAUGCUCAGAUUGAACGCUGGCGGCAUGCCUUACGACAUGCAAGGUCGAACGGUAACGGGGCCUUCGGGUGCCGACGAGUGGCGAACGGGUGAGUAAUGUAUCGGAACGUACCUUUCAGUGGGGAUAACGUAGCGAAAGUUACGCUAAUACCGCAUAUUCUGUGAGCAGGAAAGCAGGGGAUCGCAAGACCUUGCGCUGAUUGAGCGGCCGAUAUCAGAUUAGCUAGUUGGUGAGGUAAAGGCUCACCAAGGCGACGAUCUGUAGCGGGUCUGAGAGGAUGAUCCGCCACACUGGAACUGAGACACGGUCCAGACUCCUACGGGAGGCAGCAGUGGGGAAUUUUGGACAAUGGGGCAACCCUGAUCCAGCCAUGCCGCGUGAGUGAAGAAGGCCUUCGGGUUGUAAAGCUCUUUCGGCCGGGAAGAAAUCGUAUGGGUUAAUACCCUGUGCGGAUGACGGUACCGGCAUAAGAAGCACCGGCUAACUACGUG